CAUAGCUCUCUCCAAGAACAUCCACUGUGCUCUCGUGUAGUUCCUGAGUGUCCACCAAAGAACCAUGUUUGAAGGCCUGGUCACGAAGGUAAACCCAGGACCUGGUAUGAGAGGACAGCUGUGGUCUGCUUUGCUACACGGCCGCCCCGUCUGUAAAGAAAUAGCAAUCAGGAAACAAGCACACACAGCAAUGUUCACCCGGAGCGGUAUACUGACAUUUCCUUAGAAUCAUCUGUUUGCACAUCAUUUUGUAAAAUGUGCAAAAAUAGAAUCCCAGGUUAUUUUUUCAUGAUAGCAUAUAACUA
rnacentral:lncRNA from 1 species